UACAGAGGUGGCAAGCGUUGUUCGGAAUUAUUGGGCGUAAAGAGCUCGUAGGCGGUUUGUCGCGUCUGCUGUGAAAACCUAAGGCUCAACCUUGGGCUUGCAGUGGGUACGGGCAGACUAGAGUGCGGUAGGGGUGACUGGAAUUCCUGGUGUAGCGGUGGAAUGCGCAGAUAUCAGGAGGAACACCGAUGGCGAAGGCAGGUCACUGGGCCGCAACUGACGCUGAGGAGCGAAAGCAUGGGGAGCGAACAGG
rnacentral:rRNA from 1 species